AAGAGAGAAAAGAGUUCUCCCUCCAUCUUUCUAUCAUCAGUUCCUCCUUAUUCUUUCUAUGGUUUUGAAAGAGUCGAGAAAAUCAACAGGAGGAGAAGAUCAGCCAUCUACAAGUUUUUAUGCGAAAUAGCACUUCCGCAGAAGCUAAUCAGCACGGUAUUUUGUGUGGAUCACCUGUAGAGGCCGAAGACCUUGUGCGGCUAUGAGCAACCAGCAAGAUCACGAUUUUUAGAUGC
rnacentral:lncRNA from 1 species